rnacentral:rRNA from 1 species
AUGGACCUCUCCUGCUACGGCGAGAGGCUGCUCAGCUCUGCGCGCUUCGCGCGCUCCCUCGACCUCCCCCUCCCCGGCCCCAACCCCUUCCUGCUCGAGAAGGAAAUGGAUACUGCUGUCAUUCAGAAGGACUUGGGCCUUCCAGUUGGAGAAGCAAUAUUCGGGAAAACAAUACUUAUCCUGGGGUUCGGAGCCAUUGGCAUGGAAAUUGCCAAGAGACUAAGACCAUUUGGAGUGAAAAUUCUUGCUACAAAAAGAAACUGGUCAUCAAAUACAGUGUCUUGUGAUCUUGAUGGGCUGGUUGACAAGAAAGGUGGUCCAGAAGAUAUGUACGAACUCGUUCGAGAAGCUGACAUAGUUAUAACUUGCAUGACGUUAAACAAUGAAUCAGUUGGGAUUGUGGAUCACAAGUUCCUGUCAGCUUUGAAAAAGGGAUCAUAUCUCAUCAAUAUUGCCAGAGGGCGCCUACUGGACUAUAUGGCUGUGUUUAAUCACCUUGAGUCAGGUCAUUUAGGUGGUUUAGGCAUUGAUGUUGCUUGGACGGAGCCAUUCGAUCAAGAGGAUCCAAUUCUGAAAUUCCCAAAUGUUAUUAUAACACCACAUGUUGCAGGAAUCACAGAGUUGGUUUGCACUUGUUUCUUUGCAAUACACAGAGUUGUUGGUGAUGUUGCCCUCAAGCUUCACGCGGGGGAGCCAUUCACCGAAAUAGAAUUUGUGAACUAG